ensembl:piRNA 21ur-750 ncRNA
UUGUUACGAAAAUGGAACGGA